GUUGUGUCUGACUCCUAGCAACCCCAUGGACUGCAGCCCACCAGGCCCCUCUGUCCAUGGGAUUUUCCAGGCAAGAGUACUGGAGUGGGUUGCCAUUGCCUUCUCCGCUGGCUACGGACAAGAGCUUCUGAUAAACCUUGCUGGGCGACCUUUGCCUCCUUGGAAAGCUAAUCACAAGGAAACUGCCCAUGCUUGCAUUCUAUGUUUCUCCAAAAGCCUUCAUGCUCUCUGUCCAGAGAGGCUUGGGCCGCUCCUCAACCCCUUUCCAGCCUGUCCUGGUAGCCUCCACACAUAGGGAGGCCUUUCUCCUCUCCGCCACGCUGGAUGGGGUCACGGUCCACCAGAGAAGGUGGAGUAGGGAGAACAGGCAGUGAAUGAGCCUCGGGAUUCGCCUCUCGUGGCCCUCCUGCAGUCUCCUCCCAGUGCAGCAGCAACAGCCUAGUUCCCCUCUACAGAUAUCCAGCCAUUCACAUCAGCCCCCAAUCAAAACCCCACCUCUGCUGUGUGAAGCCCAAGUUUACACAAGCCCUGCCCUCAGGCCUUCUGACACCUCCCUGACCUCAUCUCUGUGGCUCUCCCUUAACCUCCCUUUCCCUCCUCUCAACCUCUCACUGCCAGCUUCUCAGGGAGAAGGCCUUCCAGGACCAUUCUCUUGGCAAAUGCAGAUCGCCCUUCAUUCCUCACCCCUCUCCCUGCUAACAUACGGGCUGGGCUUCUUUGAUGGCUCAGUGGUAAAGAAUCUGCCUGCAACGCAGGAAAUGAGGGGUUGAUUCCUGGAUGGGGAAGAUCCCCUGGAGGAGGAAAUGGCAACCCACUCUGGUAUUCUUGCCUGGAAAAUUUCAUGGACAAAGGAGCCUGGUGGGCUACAGUCCAUGGGGUCUCAAAGAUUCAGACACGACCGAGCGUGAAUGCAACAUACUGGUUAUUUGACUUAUAAUUUGCACUGGCUAUUUUACUCAUAAUUGUAAAGUGACAAUCAUCUCAGCCCCAGCUAUAAUGACCGCAACAUGAGAGCAGAUGUCCUGUUACCACUAUAUCCUUGGAACGCAGUCCCGUGCUCGACCCACAGCAGGCCCUCCAUGAAUGCCGUUGAGCAAGGGGAUGCAGAAAUUAAUUAAGAGAACACCAUAUGCUAUUUUGCCCUCCCAGGCAGGGGAAGUUCCCUCCCGGUUAUGGAAAUCCUGAAAAAUGCCAGAUGUGGACUUUUGUAAGAGAGAAGGGGGCCAAGCUGUGGGUCAGGAUCUUAGCUGAUAAAACCAACGAGUGCAAUCAUUCACUCCCCAACCCCAUCCAAACACACUUUUAUAUAUAUAUAUUUUUUACAGAGCCCUUAAUCCGCCCCUUUGGUCCCAGUUGUCACUCUUGACUGAAUUAUCUCCAGUUUUUUCUUUUUUUUCCCGCAUCUUUUUAAUCAUGGGUUCCAUAAAAGGUACAGAUCUGAAGCCUGCAGCUUGGUGAAAUUUUACAUGUACACCCACCUGGGUGACCACCACGCAAUUCAAGAUCUGAGCCGUCUCUCCCUCCACACGAGGUGUCCCUGCGGGCCCCCACCCUCCUGACAAUAGAAUACAGCAUGGCACUUUUGUGUCCAGCUUCUGCUCAGCAUUGUAUCUGUGAGGAUUUCCUACAUUCUCCUGUGUUACAGAAGUCUUUUUAAUUAUUAUUAUCGCUGUUUAUAUUCCUCUUCAUGUCUUCUUGAGUGUGGAUUACAUGUUUUUGUUGUUUUGUUGUUUUUUGGCCACACUGUACUUCAUGCCAUGUCUUAGUUCCCUGCCCAGAUUGAACCCCUGCCCCCUACAGUGGAGGCUCAGAUUUCUAACCACUGGACUGCCAGGGAAUUCCCUUGAGCAUAGAUUUUAAGAUCUGGACCAAGUCUUUCAUUAGCCUCACAAAGGACAUGUGGAGCCCCCCACACUGGCUCAGCCCUCUGGUCUGUGGCUUUUCGUGGACACACAAGCUUGAGAGAGACUCAGUUGCUCUGCUCCAGACUUGGGGACAUCAUCACAGACCAUGGGAGGUGGACCAGUGUUGUGCGAAAGGGCUUGGGCCUUGGAAUCAGGUCUGGGUUCAAAUCGCUAAUCGUCACUUCUCGGCAUUGUGACCUUGGGUGAGUCCCUAAACCUUUGUUUCUUUUCUUUUCUUUCUCUCUCUCUCUUUUUUAAAUAUUUGUUUAUUUAUGUACUUGGCUGCGCCAGAUCCUAGUUGCAGCACUGAGGAUCUUCAGUCUUCGUUAAGGCAUGCGGAUCUUUAGUUGCAGCAUGCGAACUCUUAGUUGCAGCUUGUGGGAUCCAGUUUCCUGACCAGGGAUUGAACCAGGGCCCCCCUGCCUUCGGAGCACAGAGUCCUAGCCAUUGGACCUGCAGGGAAGUCUCCCUUUAUUUCUUCUAUUCAACUGUAAAAUGGAAAUAUAAUUCCACGGCUGACUGUGGCACUGCUGUGAAGAUUAAAGACAAUGACGGUGAGUCGUGCUCAGGGCGUGGUAGACGCUUGAUAAGUGCUAGUUGUUUUUAUUACUGCUCACACCACCUGACGCUCGUCCAGAACUGUCUACCAGGAUCUUUGCCCCACAGGCCAAACCGUAGCACUUUCCUGGCCCUCUCUCCUCAGCCCUGCUGGGCUACCUGCUCAGGCUUCAAGUUUCCCAACUUUCAAAGUACUUUUAUAAAUAGGGACAGGGAAGCAACCGGAAACCAGAAGGAACAGGAGGAAGGACACAUAUACAUUUACAAGCACCAUAAUGAAAGCUUUAUAUCCUCACUGGCUUAGAUUCAUUAUCAGGUCUUUCUGGCAGGACUUUGAACUUGAGCUCCGCAAAGUGCUGAGUGAAGAGGUAGCUUAAGUGCAGGAGGCAGGUAGCAAUCUGAGAUUCAAUCUGCCCCCCACCCCUCUAGGGAGACGCCUGGGCUGCUCCCACCCACCCAGGAGGGGCUGUUGCCUCCCAGCUAGAGAGCUGUGGUCCCCACCUCCAUGGCCACACACGGAGGGGGCUGGGCACGUUAUGGGAUUCCCAAAGUCACCCCACGAUUCAGCUCCUGGGGCUCCCGGCCUGUCCACAACACACUGACAUGGCACACACUGUGGCUGUGUCGGGGGUGCCUUGGGAGUGCUUAGUCACGCCACCUACCAUCCGAGACGACUUAGGAACCAUCCCGAAGGAUUGAUAGCAGUGGUGGUUCUGAACAGUAUCUGAGAUGGGCCGCAACUGACAGUCCCUCAGUCAUAGAUUAAGUGGGACUAUGCGUGUCUUCAGAACCCUUGCUGUCUUUGCUGGUGAGGUCGGGGACAUGGGCGAGCACUGAGCCCCUCCACCCUCAAGGUCCUCCUUGCAGUGAGAUUCUGGAGCCACGCUCCCGGAGAACGCUUGCGCUGUCCCUGUGGCAGUUGCCCCACAAGACACACUGCAGCACGCUGGCAGCCGCUGCACAGCAAAUAACAAUAUGAUAAUAAUGAACAUUUGUUGAGUGAGUGAUGAAUCUGCAGCAGGCGCUUCGUGCCUUGGCGCAUUUAAUCCACUCUGCGAUUCUGUGAGGUGGUACUCUGGGUUGAAUUGUGUCUCCCCUAAAAGAUGUUGAAUUCGUAACCCUCCGGUACCUGGCAAUGUGACCUAUUUGGAAACAGGGUCACUGUGGAUGAUGAAGUUAAGAUGAGAUCAUAGGCUGGGCCCUCAUCCAGUUCAACCAGCAUCCUCAUAAAAAGGGGAAAUUUGGACACAAAGACUCACACACAGGGAGGUCAUGUGGAGACGAAAGCAGAGAUGGUGUGAUGAGUCUAAAAACUAAGAAAUGCCAAAGACUCUCAGCAAACCCCCAAGAGCUAAGAGAGAGGUCUGGAUCCAAUUCUCCUGCAUAACCCUCAGAAGAAACCAACCGUGCUGACACCUUGAUUUCAGACUCCUGGCCUCCAGAUAUACACCUCUGUUAUUCAAACCUCCCAGUGUGUGGCACUUGGUUACAAUAACCCUAACAAAUUAUCACAGUACAGACUGAGGCUUGCCCCUCAUGGGGCUUUAGAGAGUUGGGAUGAUAGAGGAUCUGAGGUGGGGCCAGCAGAGCUCCCGAGGGGCUGUCUGUGCCCUGCCAGCUGGGCAGGUGUCCCCCUCUCCCUGCCAGUGGGGGUCCACUCUUAGGAAGUUUCACACCCAAUCCUGGUGGCUUCUCUCUGUUCCCUCGCAUUCUUAAGGCCUAAAGACUGAAGUCAGUGACUGGGGAAGGGAGCUGCUAACACAGUCCAGAGGCUGCAGUAGGGAAAGGGAAGGGCCUCACACCCACAGCGGGAGGGUCUGGCUUGAGGAUGGGGGAGCUACCACAAUACCCUUUCCUUUUUACUCUUUUACUCUUCAAGAUCCUAAAUGGACCUCUGGUGUAGGCGAAGACCCUGACAAGGCCACGGAGUGGAACAGCAAGGGCGCAGCCACAAAAGGAAAGUGUUGCCAUGUCUAGAGGAUGCAGUGAAGAGGGAGUAGGUGUGCCUGAGUCCAAACUGUGUUUUCUUCACUUAUUGGCUAGGGGAAGUUGGUCUGAUUUGGCCUCAGUUUCCCCAUCUAUAAAAUGGAAAUAAUAAUGUUAUAGCCUUACCUUAUAAAAUAGUGGCAAUUAAAAAAAACCCUCACUUAGACUCUCCUGGUGGUCCAGUGGCUAAGACCCCAUGCUCACAAUACAGGGGGCAUGGAUUCCUGGUUGGGGAACUAAGAUCCCACAUCCUAUGCAGAACUGCCAAAAAAAAAAAAAAAGCAAAAAAACCUCACUUAGCACAGCCCAUGGACAUACUAAAGACACAGUGUUAUUGAUUGUUCUAAUGAUUGUUACAGGGAUGACCCUGAACCAAUCCUGAAAAUAAAUAUAGUGUGGAGGGAGCAAGGUCUCCUGUGUCCUGUAUAGAGAGGCAGAGCAUGGGGCACCAGCUGCCAGGCCUGGGUUCAUGCCUAACUUAGUCCCAGCUCCUUGGGUGAUUUUGAGUGAGGUUGAGGGAGGCUGGGAGGGCCAGAUUUUAGCUCUUGCAGCCUCUGAAUUAGGCUGGAAGAAGGAAGGGGUCCCCAUCAAUUCUCAGGUGUACAUCCUUAGUGCCAGGGCUGUGCUAGCACCCGGGGCUCUAAACAGCUACUUGGCUGUCGCUUGUCUUCCUCAGGGUGCCAGAAAGAGCAGGGUGUUCCGGGAGUCAUCAUUUCUGGGUUUGACGUGUUCCCCAGAUGGGGUGUGCUGGGAGGGGCAGAUGAUCUGGGCUCUGGUCUUGGCUCAUUCUGGACUGGCAUUGGAAGACUUGGGCCUCUAUCUGCCUGCACGUAAACCAACUGAUGGUUCCUUUUGGUGAUGAAAUUUUGGAUGUUCUUCCGUACCUCAAAUGACAGUAGGCACUCACUGAGUGACUCCUAAGUGCCAGGGGCAAAGGUUCCCACACACUUUAUCCGUUUACUCAUAGCUCUAGGUAGUUGCCAUUACUCUCCCACUUUGCAGAUGAGGAAAUGGGUCUCUGAGAGGCAGGUAGCUUCCCUGAGGUCCCGCAGCUAGUAACUGGCAGAGACGGAACUUUCGCUUUCGUAGCUUUCUUCCAGAACUUGUUCACCGCUCCAGCCCUCUGUUCUCCAUCCUCACUCACCACGUGUCACUGGGGCCACUCCCCUGAGCACAUUCACCAGAAGUGCCUCCUUUUUGACUAAUUUUUAAAGAUGGCAUUAAGAAUAAGGUGGGGGGACGUGGUGCCACAGCCGUGACUCAUUAUGGAGAGAAGGCAGUCAAGGGACGGUGCUGUUUUAAUACGCGUACUGCCUCACCAGGUGUGGGCACCACUCCCUUCCUGCCCUCCCCCACCCCCCCUCCACCCUGACCUGAGCACCAGCCACAACCCUGCCUGGCCUGGGAAAAGUCCCAGCCCUGGCUAUAAUUCGGGCCCUCUUGUGACCAGGGUAAACCCACCGCUCCCGUUUCCUAGGACCAGGCCUUCCCUGAACCCUGGGGUCUCAAAGCUCCUCACCUGCUGCCUGAUGCUGUAUGCUUACCUGCCACCAGGCUCCUCUGACACCCUCUGAGGCCUUCAUGUGUGGGCUUUCUGGAACGGUCUGCCUAGCCUGGAGACAUGUCUGGUGUUCAGACCCCUGGACUCCCUGUUUGGAGUCCAGCCCUGCAUCAAGCAGUCUCUCUACAGCAGGGUUCCCACAGUAGGUUUCAUAGUGGGUCCAAUCUUGUUCUACAGCACCCAGUCCAGAUCCACCCUGUCAGCCUGCUCUGUAUGCUUGGCUCACAUUUUGAUGUGUUGAGAAUGCUAUGAAAUGUUUGAAUGGACCAGCACUCCCUGGGCUGGCCUCAUGUUACACUCUUUCCAUGGCACUUCCUGGAGCCACCGCCACAAGAGUAUAUGUGUGGGCAUCCUGGCUGGUCACUCAGGACUCCAAAACGACCGAGAAGAGAAGCCAUGCCCUGGGCUGAUCGGAUCUGCCUGGUUUCUAUGAUGACGAAGCAGGUGGCUCUGGAGCGUGUGAGCACCCAGCAGAGCGUGGCUCUGGGAAAGCCUCUCUGGUCCUCACGGGAAUGUAAACACAGUGACACAGCAGCCCAGAGGCCGGCACAGAUCGGAGCUCUGGCCAAAGGGUGCUAGAAUCCGCAGUUUGGUUUCAGGCUCUGGUGUCUUCAGCCCUCGACAUGAGAGAAGCUCAGAGAAAACUCUGGAGGAAAAGACCUGAGAUUUUUCCUCUAAGGAUAUUAAACACACACAUAACAAAUCGAACGCUGCAAGUGAAAAUGUGUUUUCUGAAUUAUUUGCCACAAUUUAAAAAUGUUUCACAUGGAAUCUGGAUUUUUGUCUUCUGUUGAAAAAUUGGAAACUCUGGCAACAUUGGGACUGGGCUCUUGUGUGGAAAAAUUAGCAGGAGCCAUUAAGGAAAAAUUAGCUUGUGUGGAAAAAUUAUCAGUAAUUAGACUCUCUCCCCUGGGGCACCCUGACCACUGGUUUCAGGCCCCUCCCAGGCUGGGUAUUCUGCAAAUUAGCACUCUGGUUUAGCUCUUCAUGCAGGAUCUUUUUAACCGUGACCCAUUCUCCUUCUAUCCAGUCCUCUUCCCUCUUUCUGUUAUCUGCAUUCUUCCACAGGUAGGUGAAUUUCUUUUAUUUAAGUCCCAUGUAGUCCAGCUGUCUAAAUAAGUCCAGUAAUUUGAGGAAGCCCUGUGUACCCUUCCUGCUCUUAUUCAUGCCCAGACCACAUGAAUAUAUUGAGGCUCUGGGAAGUCCUGAUAUUUCCCAAAGCAUAAUGGCUCCCAUCCGACAUAGUGGGUGUCUCCCCAGACAGGGAGUGGGUGCCUCCUCAGACAGUCCCUGUGCCUUUGGGGCAGCUCCCUCCACCCACCGCACCCCUGCUUGGUGAAUGCUUUGGCAUCUUCUCAAAGGCCUGGGCAGGUCUCCCUAAGCUGGCUGAGGAGCACCUGUUGAUGUGGGGGAUGUUGCCUGUUUGACUCACAGAGAGACAGAGACAAAAUGAGAGCAAGUGAUGAAGAACUUCAAACCCAGAGCCAGUGAGUCAGCAUCUCACCCUCAGCCUUUUCCUUGAUCUGGACAGCCCCUCACGAGCCGGACUGAUGCCAGUAUCCUAAGAGUUAUCAGUAAUUAGACUCCCUCCCCUGGGGCGCCCUGACCACUGGUUUCAGGCCCCUCCCAGGCUGGGUGUUCUGCUUAGGUGGGAGCGCCAACUCAGACACAAGCCGUGCCAGUGCCCAAAGCAACUCUAGAGAUCUUCCCAUCCUAUCUAGUUCUUUCAUGUCAGCUAGAAUCGCUUGGCAAUGGCUUCCUGGAGAAAACUGUUGAUUCUGAGUUUGAUUCAGCACUCAGCUCAGUGAAUAGAUACCUGCAAUCCACUGGUAUCAUCUGCCAUGGUGGGAAAAGAAAGCGUGGAAUUGAAGGCAAAGAUAACAGUUGACUGCAAGACCCAAAGCUGAUCAACAGACAGAAGUGCAGAGAGAAGAGAGAAGCUGCGUGAGAGCCUGCAGACCACAACUACUGAAGCCUGUGCACCUAAAGCCUGU